rnacentral:rRNA from 1 species
CCCUUAGAUGUUCUGGGCUGCACGCGCGCUACACUGAUGCACUCAACGAGUUUACGACCUUGCCCGAUAGGGUUGGGUAAUCUUUUUAAAAUGCAUCGUGAUGGGGAUAGAUUAUUGCAAUUAUUAAUCUUCAACGAGGAAUUCCUAGUAAGCGCGAGUCAUCAGCUCGUGCUGAUUACGUCCCUGCCCUUUGUACACACCGCCCGUCGCUCCUACCGAUUGAGUGCUCAGGUGAAUAAUUCGGACUGCAGCAAUGUUUGGAUCCCGAACGUUGCAGCGGAAAGUUGAGUGAACCUUAUCACUUAGAGGAAGGAGAAGUCGUAACA